CGGAAAAUCCUAGAGAUAGGACGUUCCCCUUCGGGGGACAGGAUGACAGGUGGUGCAUGGUUGUCGUCAGCUCGUGUCGUGAGAUGUUGGGUUAAGUCCCGCAACGAGCGCAACCCUUGAUCUUAGUUGCCAGCAUUUAGUUGGGCACUCUAAGGUGACUGCCGGUGACAAACCGGAGGAAGGUGGGGAUGACGUCAAAUCAUCAUGCCCCUUAUGACCUGGGCUACACACGUGCUACAAUGGAUGGUACAAAGGGCAGCAAAACCGCGAGGUCGAGCCAAUCCCAUAAAACCAUUCUCAGUUCGGAUUGUAGGCUGCAACUCGCCUACAUGAAGCUGGAAUCGCUAGUAAUCGCGGAUCAGCAUGCCGCGGUGAAUACGUUCCCGGGCCUUGUACACACCGCCCGUCACACCACGAGAGUUUGUAACACCCGAAGUCGGUGGGGUAACCCUUCUGGGAGCCAGCCGCCUAAGGUGGGAUAGAUGAUUGGGGUGAAGUCGUAAAGGGGAAACCCGUA
rnacentral:rRNA from 1 species